AACGAACGCUGGCGGCAGGCCUAACACAUGCAAGUCGAGCGGACCUUUCGGGGUCAGCGGCGGACGGGUGAGUAACGCGUGGGAAUAUGCCCUUCUCUACGGAAUAGUCCUGGGAAACUGGGGGUAAUACCGUAUACGCCCUUUGGGGGAAAGAUUUAUCGGGGAAGGAUUAGCCCGCGUUGGAUUAGGUAGUUGGUGGAGUAAUGGCCUACCAAGCCGACGAUCCAUAGCUGGUUUGAGAGGAUGAUCAGCCACACUGGGACUGAGACACGGCCCAGACUCCUACGGGAGGCAGCAGUGGGGAAUCUUAGACAAUGGGGGCAACCCUGAUCUAGCCAUGCCGCGUGAGUGAUGAAGGCCUUAGGGUUGUAAAGCUCUUUCAGCUGGGAAGAUAAUGACGGUACCAGCAGAAGAAGCCCCGGCUAACUCCGUG
rnacentral:rRNA from 1 species